UGCAAAGGAGCAGACCGCGAAUACUGUGGGCAUGCAGGCCCAUAGUCCCUGGGGGCACUGACCUACGAGUGGGGUUGAGACGUGGGUGAGAGUGCAGAUGAGUGGGUGAGGCCAUAUGGAUCUUUGCAGAAAUAGUCCUGGGCUGGGUGUGGCUUUGCGAUCCAGUUUGAACCAGGAGCCAAGCAGCAUUCCUUCUGUCCUUUGGGUCCGUGGCUCCCGUAUGUUGUGAACCCAGAUGUCACUGGCUCUGUUCUACCGUGCCUGGUGUGAUCUCUGUUCUGGGGUUGCUGUCUGCAUGUUGAGAGAGGGGCCUGGUUGAUCUUGGUGUCUGUUUCACCUCUCCAGAGCAAGAGGAGGCAGUGGAGGAGGAGGAUGGUGAGGCCGAGCCUGAUCCCGAGGGUGAGGCAGAGGCAGAGGAGGACAAGGCAGAAGAGGUUGGUCCUGAUGAAGAAGCCAGAGAUGCUGAAGGUAAGUGAUGCUGGGCAUCAGCACGAGAGAACCCCUCAGAGUAGACUUGGGUAAAACCACCCAGGGAUUCCGGUAUAACCAGAAGUUAUACAGGUAAGGGUUGGAAGGCAGAACUUGGGGGUACGUGCAGGGCUUGGGGAACUCUAAACCCUUGUCUUCUUCAUCUCAGAGAAAUGGCCUUAGUGUCCAACAGGAGAGGGAACCAGUGUCUAGUCCCUGGCGUGUGCAGGGUAGUGCUCUUAGAAGUA
rnacentral:lncRNA from 1 species